rnacentral:rRNA from 1 species
CCUACGGGUGGCAGCAGUGGGGAAUAUUGGGCAAUGGGCGCAAGCCUGACCCAGCAAAGCAGCGUGAAGGAAGAAGGCUUUCGGGUUGUAAACUUCUUUUCUCAGGGACGAAGCAAGUGCCGGUACCUGAGGAAUAAGCCACGGCUAACUACGUGCCAGCAGCCGCGGUAAUACGUAGGUGGCAAGAGUUAUCCGGAUUUACUGGGUGUAAAGGGCGUGUAGGCGGGACUGCAAGUCAGAUGUGAAAACCACGGGCUCAACCUUUGGCCUGCAUUUGAAACUGUAAGUCUUGAGUACUGGAGAGGCGGACGGAAUUCGUGGUGUAGCGGUGAAAUGCGUAGAUAUUAGGAGGAACACCAGUGGCGAAGGCGGUCUGCUGGACAGCAACUGACGCUGAGGCGCGAAAGCGUGGGUAGCAAACAGGAUUAGAUACCCGAGUAGUC